rnacentral:rRNA from 1 species
AUUGAACGCUGGCGGCAUGCUUUACACAUGCAAGUCGAACGGCAGCACGGACUUCGGUCUGGUGGCGAGUGGCGAACGGGUGAGUAAUACAUCGGAACGUGCCCAGUUGUGGGGGAUAACUACUCGAAAGAGUAGCUAAUACCGCAUGAGAACUGAGGUUGAAAGCAGGGGAUCGUAAGACCUUGCGCAACUGGAGCGGCCGAUGGCAGAUUAGGUAGUUGGUGGGAUAAAAGCUUACCAAGCCGACGAUCUGUAGCUGGUCUGAGAGGACGACCAGCCACACUGGGACUGAGACACGGCCCAGACUCCUACGGGAGGCAGCAGUGGGGAAUUUUGGACAAUGGGCGAAAGCCUGAUCCAGCAAUGCCGCGUGCAGGGUGAAGGCCUUCGGGUUGUAAACUGCUUUUGUACGGAACGAAAAGCUUCGGGUUAAUACCCUGGAGUCAUGACGGUACCGUAAGAAUAAGCACCGGCUAACUACGUGCCAGCAGCCGCAGUAA